UUAUAAGAGACAGCAGUAGCCGCGGUAAUACAGAGGGUGCGAGCGUUAAUCGGAUUUACUGGGCGUAAAGCGUGCGUAGGCGGCUUUUUAAGUCGGAUGUGAAAUCCCUGAGCUUAACUUAGGAAUUGCAUUCGAUACUGGGAAGCUAGAGUAUGGGAGAGGAUGGUAGAAUUCCAGGUGUAGCGGUGAAAUGCGUAGAGAUCUGGAGGAAUACCGAUGGCGAAGGCAGCCAUCUGGCCUAAUACUGACGCUGAGGUACGAAAGCAUGGGGAGCAAACAGGAUUAGAUACCCCUGUAGUCCCUGUCUCUUAUAC
rnacentral:rRNA from 1 species